rnacentral:rRNA from 1 species
CGCCUGUUUAACAAAAACAUGUCCUUUUGAUUUUAAUAUAAGGUCUGACCUGCCCAAUGAUAGUUAAUGAAUGGCCGCGGUAUUUUAACUGUGCUAAGGUAGCGUAAUCAAUUGUCUCUUGAUUGGAGGCUGGAAUGAAAGGUUAGACGAGAUAUAUGCUUUCUUUAAUUUAGUUUAUGAACUUAAUUUUUUGGUUAAAAAGCUAAAAUUUUAUUGUGGGACGAGAAGACCCUAUAGAUCUUUAUAUGUUUUUUUGUUGAUAAUUUUAGGGAAUUUUAUUUAUUGAUGUGAAUAUAUAUUUUAUUGGGGUGAUUGUAGAAUUAAAAUAACUUCUAUUUUUUGUGAUUCAUUAAUUUAUGUGUAUUUUGAUCCCCUUUGUGGAUUAUAAGAUUAAGUUACCUUAGGGAUAACAGCGUAAUUUCUUCAGAAAGUUCUUAUUGAUGAGGGAGUUUGCGACCUCGAU